GAGUUCAGUUGGUUAGAGUGUGGUGCUGAUAAUGCCAAGGUUGCAGUUUCGAUCCCCCUGUGGAAUAGCU